GACGAACGCUGGCGGCGUGCUUAACACAUGCAAGUCGAACGGAAAGGCCCUGCUUUUGUGGGGUGCUCGAGUGGCGAACGGGUGAGUAACACGUGAGUAACCUGCCCUUGACUUUGGGAUAACUUCAGGAAACUGGGGCUAAUACCGGAUAGGAGCUCCUGCUGCAUGGUGGGGGUUGGAAAGUUUCGGCGGUUGGGGAUGGACUCGCGGCUUAUCAGCUUGUUGGUGGGGUAGUGGCUUACCAAGGCUUUGACGGGUAGCCCGCCUGAGAGGGUGACCGGCCACCUUGGGACUGCGAUAGGGCCCAGACUCCUACGGGAGGCAGCAGGGGGGAAUAUUGCACAAUGGGCGGAAGCCUGAUGCAGCAACGCCGCGUGCGGGAUGACGGCCUUCGGGGUGUAAACCGCUUUCGCCGGUGACGAAGCGUGAGUGACGGUAAUGGGUAAAGAAGCACCGGCUAACUACGUG
rnacentral:rRNA from 1 species